GACGAACGCUGGCGGCGUGCCUAAUACAUGCAAGUAGAACGCUGAAGAGAGGAGCUUGCUCUUCUUGGAUGAGUUGCGAACGGGUGAGUAACGCGUAGGUAACCUGCCUUGUAGCGGGGGAUAACUAUUGGAAACGAUAGCUAAUACCGCAUAACAAUGGAUGACCCAUGUCAUUUAUUUGAAAGGGGCAAAUGCUCCACUACAAGAUGGACCUGCGUUGUAUUAGCUAGUAGGUGAGGUAACGGCUCACCUAGGCGACGAUACAUAGCCGACCUGAGAGGGUGAUCGGCCACACUGGGACUGAGACACGGCCCAGACUCCUACGGGAGGCAGCAGUAGGGAAUCUUCGGCAAUGGGGGCAACCCUGACCGAGCAACGCCGCGUGAGUGAAGAAGGUUUUCGGAUCGUAAAGCUCUGUUGUAAGUCAAGAACGAGUGUGAGAGUGGAAAGUUCACACUGUGACGGCAGCUUACCAGAAAGGGACGGCUAACUACGUG
rnacentral:rRNA from 1 species